rnacentral:lncRNA from 1 species
CACACAGAGAGAGAGAGACACACACACAUACACACACAGUCUCACACACACACACACACAGUCUCACACACACAGUCACACACAUGCACGCACACAGUCACACACAUACACGCACACAGUGUCACACACAGUCUCACACAUACAUAUACACACACAUUGUAGUAAGCUACAUUUCCCUUAGAAUAUUUCAACGAUUACUCUUGACAAUAACUGUUAAUUCGUUAACGAUUCGACUCGAGUUUCGUACAUGUUACGAGUUUCUUCAUAUGUCUCGAACAUGGCGGUUGUUCGUAGCAAACCUAACGGGCUGGGGCCCCGGGCCCCACCGACAUUAUCCUAGUACGGCAGGACCAUGGUAGGGAAUCUCCGGCAGGAAGGCCGAGAUAUAUUAGCUACCCGGGCGGGGUGCUCUGGCCAGACACUGAAGUAUCACGAAUACUAGGUGUUCGGAGUUCAAGACUCCGCCGCCGCUGUAUAGAUUGUUUUCGUAUACGCGUCUAUGUAGACUAGUGCUUGCCGCUGGGUUGGUCUCCUUCCUGCCUCGGCGAGGACUGUCAACUCAACGCUUCCGGGUAACAGGCUGUUGGGAGUUAGAGAUUGAUCAACAUCAUGACCAACCUAACAGCUGUGAGCACACAGCUCGCACCUGCAGGCUUUGUGACUGCAGGGCGGUUCAAGGCGAAAUGCAUGCCUUUGUGAAAUGCCCGGCAUACACUAGUACACGGGCUAAGUACGAACAUGACCUCGCUUUUCAAGGGUUCAACGUGCGCACGAUUUGACUGAGGCCCCACCCCUGGCACUAGCCAGGUUCCCCUCGGAAGUCUGGGAGACCCGGCAUGUUGCUCUAUGGCGCUUCAUAUGCUCAAGUGGACGAGGGAGGACAAUGAUGGUCCACCAUGUAACUGCACUUCAAACGAUUCACCGUCCAUGGGCACGCCAGCUUUUAUGGACAACCCCGCACUUGUGUGGAACUUGUAACACACACAAACACAUACAAAGACAGACACACAGACACACCCACCCACCCAUUUCAGUCAAACACACACACACACACACACACACAGACAGACAAACAGAGACAGACAAAAGGAGAGAGACAGAGACAGACACAGACAGACAGACACAGAGGCAGACACACAGACAGACACGGAGACAGACACAGAGACAGACACAGAGGCAGACACACAGACAGACAGACACGGACAGACAGACACCGAGACAGACACAGACAGACAGACACAGACAGACAGACAGACAGACAGA